GACCGGACGCCGCCGAGUCGCGUCCGCACCCGCGGUCGCGAGCCGGGGACCCACCGCAGUCCUGGGGUGAAUCGCACCCCGGCGAGCGACCGCUCGCCUGGUGCGUAGGGCUUCUUCCCGCCCGAACCCGUCAGCUAACCCGGUAGGCGGCCACGGAAGGAACG
rnacentral:sRNA from 2 species